AAUUCUCCUGUUUCCGUCUCCUGGGAGAACUGGGAUAACAGAUGCAAGCUACUAUCCCCUGUUUUACAUAGAUUCUGGGAGUCUAAGCUCAGUUCUUUAUCCUUGCCCAACAAGCACUUUAUCUAUUGAGCUAUCUCCCCAGCUCUCUGAUGCCUUUAUGUAGUAUAAUACAGCAACUUUUUCAUAUGUUUAAUUAGAAAACAUUUGACAAGGAUCAUUUUUUAUCCCUUUUUUAUUUGUUUUGAGACAGGGUUUCUCUAUGUAGCUCUGGCUGUCCUGGAACUCACUCUGUAGAAUAUGCUGGCCUCAGAUUCACAGAAGUCCACUUGCCUCUGCCUCUCAAGUGCUGGGUUUAAACGUCUGCACUACCAUGCUCAGCAUAUUUGUUUGAUUUUAAAGAUUUGUAGCCCUGGAUAGCCUGGAACUUGUUGUGUUAAGGCUGGCCUUAAACUCACAGAGAUUCACUUGUUUCUGCCUCCUGAGUGGAGACAUUAAAAGUACAUGCUGUCACACACAGCCUUAUCCCUUUUUUAAAAUUUUAUUUAUUUUUAUUUAUAAGCAUUGAUUGAUAUUCUGCCUGCAUGCAUGUCUGUGUAAGAGUGUUGGAUUCCCCUAGGACUGGAGUUACAGAGAGUUGUGUGAGCUGCUAUAUGGGUGCUAGAAAUAUAGCCCAGGUCCUCUGGAAGAGCAGCCAGUGCUCUUAACCUCUGGGCCAUCUCUCCAGCUCUGCCCUAAUUUUCUAAAAAUUAAAAAUAAUUUGUCUAUUUCAUUUAAGAAAAAUUUUGUUUUGUUUGAGAGUCUCAUUCUAUAGCCCACAUUAGCCUAGAGUUAGCAUUCUAUAGAGUUAACAUUCUAUAGAUUAACAUUCUAUAGAGUUACAUUCUAUAGAGUUACAUUCUAUAUAGAGUUACAUUCUAUAGAGUUACAUUCUAUAGAGUUAACAUUCUAUAGAGUUAAUAUUCUAUAGAGUUAACAUUCUAUAGAGUUAACAUUCUAUAGAGUUAGCAUUCUAUAGAGUUAGCAUUCUAUAGAGUUAGUUAACAUUCUAUAGAGUUAGUUAGCAUUCUAUAGAGUUAGCAUUCUAUAGAGUUGCAUUCUAUAGAGAGUUAACAUUCUAUAGAGUUAACAUUCUAUAGAGUUAACAUUCUAUAGAGUUACAUUCUAUAAGUUAUAUUCUAUAGAGUUACAUUCUAUAGAGUUAACAUUCUAUAGAGUUAGCAUUCUAUAGAGUUAGCAUUCUAUAGAGUUACAUUCUAUAGAGUUAACAUUCUAUAGAGUUACAUUCUAUAGAGUUAACAUUCUUCUCACCUUAACCUUCCAGUACUGAAAAGGGGGUGUGGGGGAGGAGUGUAAGCCGGGCGUGGUGGCCAUGCCUUUUAUCCCAGCACUCAGGAGGCAGAGGCAGGCGGAUUUAAGGCCAGCCUGGUCUACAAAGUGAGUUCCAGGACAGCCAGGGCUAUACAGAGAAACCCUGUCUC
rnacentral:lncRNA from 1 species